GAUGAAGAACGCAGCGAAAUGCGAUAAGUAGUGUGAAUUGCAGAAUUUAGUGAAUCAUCGAAUCUUUGAACGCACAUUGCGCCCUAUAGUAUUCUGUAGGGCAUGCCUGUUCGAGCGUUAUUGAGACCUCAAGCUCUGCUUGGAAAUGGGCGCUUGUCUUGCCUUGCAGACUCGCCUUAAAACCAUUGGCAGCUGAUUUACAAUGUUUGGUGCACAGUACAUGAGCCCAAGUGUUGCAAUGAGUGGCCCAAAUGUAUACAAUAGAAGCUUAACCUCGGAUCAGGUAGGGAUACCCGCUGAACUUAAGCAUAUCAAUAAGCGGAGGA
rnacentral:misc_RNA from 1 species